rnacentral:lncRNA from 1 species
GUGGCUGUACUACUUUGUCUUCCUAGAGACAUUUCUAAUAAUGUUGCUUCACAUCAUUGACAACAUUCGAUGUUGCCAGUCUUCUGAAUUUUGGCCAUUCUAACAGGUUGAGGUCCAGUUAUUGCAACACCAUUAUUGAAAAGAUGAUUUUGCUUCAUUGCACUGCCUUUGCUUCUUUGUCAAAGACUGUAUUACGUCAACUCAUUGAAAAAUUUCCCAGAGAAUUUUCUACAUUCUUUACCAGAUUGGAGGUAAAUAAUACUUCUUUGUUAUUGCUAUAUGAUCAUGAAAAAGGUUUGUAUUUUGUUAGUAAUAGAUAUAAUAUAAUAUAGAAUUAUAAUAUAUAAUAAUAGUAAUAAUUCAUCUAUUGAUCAAGUAUUAUAUAGAUUCUAGAUACUUUUCCAAAUGCUUUGCAUGUAUUAAUUUGUCUGAUAACAAUAUUAUACAGGAGAGAUUAUUAGUAUCGCAUUUUGUAUGUUUAUUUAACAGACAUUUACUGACCACCUUCUAUGUUUAGGUAUUCUUUCAGUGAUAAGUGUCCAGUGGUUCACCAGACAGACACAAAUACUUACCCUGAUUGGAGCUUACAUUCUGGUGGGGAAGACAGGUAAUAAACAAAAUAAUUAAGUAAAAUAUAUAGUUUUCAGAUAGAGAUAAUGUCUAUGGGGGAAAAUAAAGCAAAGAAAGUGAAUGAAGAAUGCUAGUGGAAGGGGUGGCAACUUUUUUUAAAAUGGUCAAAGAAGACACAAGGGUAAAGACUGAAAAAAGAGAGUCAGCAACAUGAAUAUAUGAACAAAAAAUGUUUCAGGCAAAGCAAAGAGCAAGUGUAAUCCUUGUUCAAGAGUGCUGGUGUGCCCGUGCAGAAAGAGCAACAGGAGAUGAAAAGAAGAUGAAUAUCUGGGUCUAAGAUGUUUACUUUUUUGUGAGUGAGAUGGUAUGUUGUUGAGGGUUUUGAAAAGCAAAGUGACAUCACCUGAUAUAUUUUAACUGGACCACCCUAGUUACUGUGUUGGGAAAUAUAUAAGGAAGAGAAGAGAUUAGUUGGGUCACUAGAACAUUGACACAGGCAAGAGAUUAUAGUGUGUGAACUUGAGUUGGUGGGAAAUUAUCAGAUUCUGGAAAUACAUUGAAAGUAAAGUCAACAAGAUUGUAGAUUGUGAGAGCAAAACCAAAUCAUGAAUGACUCAAGAUUUUGGACUGAAUAAUUGGAAUCCUGACAUUUGCUAUAAAAUCAAAUGGGGAAGAAUGCUUCCAUUCAUGUGUGUUGGGGGACAUCGAGGGGAAAGAUCAGGAGUUUGUUUUUGGAUAUGUUAACUCUGAGAUGAGUGUUGUGUAUUCAAAUAUAAACAUCAAGUAUUAAUAGUUAGUUGUAUAUAAAAGUAUAAACUUCAAAGAAGACAUCCGGCUUUGUAGUACAAAUUUGGGAGUCAUCAUCAUAAAGAAGUUGUGAUGGUUAAUAUUGUCAACUUGAUUAGAUUGAAGGAUGCAAAGUAUUGUGCCUGGGUGUGUCUGUGAGGGUGUUGCCCAAGGAGAUUAGCAUUUGAGUCAGCAGACUGAGAGGCAGACCAACCCUCAGUCUGAGUGGGCACCAUCUAAUCAGCUGCCAGCAUGUCUAGAAAAAGGCAGGCAGGAGAAAGUGGAGUGAGGAUCCUGGCUGAGUCUUUCAGCCUUCAUCUUUCUCCAGUGCUGGAUGCUUCCUGCCCUCAAACAUCAGCCUGCAAGUUCUUCAGCUUUUGGACUCUUGGAGUUACCUCAGUGGUUUGCCAGAGGCUCUCAGGCCUUCAGCCACAGACUUAAGGCUGCACUGUUGGCUUCCCUACUUUUCAGGUUUUGAGACUUGGACUGGCUUCUUUGCUUUCAACUUGCAGACGGCCUAUUGUGAAACUUUACCUUGUGAUCGUGUGAGUCAAUACGUUUUAAUAAACUCCCCUUCACAUAUACAUCUAUCCUAUUAGUUAUGUUCCUCUAGAGAACCCUGACUAAUACAGAAGGUAUUUAACACCAUGAAACAAGAAAGCAAAUAUUAAGGGAGUGAGGAUAUAGAUAUUCUCUGUCUAAUGUGGUAACCACAACCACAUAUAGACACUGACCACUUGAAAUACUACUCUCAAUUGAGACAUACUGUUAAGUGUGAAAUGUAUAUCAGAUUUUGAAGACUUAGUAUGCAAAAAAGAAUGGCAAACAUUUUACUAACUUAUCUAUAUUACUAGUUGUUGAAAUGAUAUCUCAAUACAUUGGAUUAUAUAUAAUUAAAAUUAUUUUUUCUGUUUCUUUUUUCUUGAUAAUGUAGCUGGAAGAAAAUUUAGUAUUACAUAUUUGACUCAUACUUGUAGCUUAUAUUUUGAUUGAGCAGUGAAACUAUAGAGAGAAAGAGGUCCAACGAUUGAGCUCUGGGAGCUCUUAGAUUAAGAUAUUUGGAAGGUGAGGGGAAACCAAAAACUAGAUUGAGAUGGGACAGCUAAUGAUGUGAGAAAGAUACCAGGAGAUGGUUGCACCCAGAAAGUUAAAUGAAGAAAAUAUCUCAAGGAGGAAGGAGUGACCUACCACAGCAAAUUUUUUAAUGAACUGUGAUGCCUCAAAAUUAUGGUUGAGGAUUGAUAAUUGGAUUAGCUGCAUCAAGAUUAUUGCUAUUUGGGUAACAGUAAUUUCUGUGGAGCUGUAGAGUGAGAGACUAACUCAAAUGUUUACAAGACAGAAUUAGAGAAAAGAGUUUGGAGGACAUUUUUAAUAUAGGAAACUCUUUGGAAGUAUAUUACUAUAAAGACAAGAAAUAAAUCAAAUAAUAGUUGUGGGGGUAAUGCAGUGCAAUUGAGAGAUGCCUUUGUUAGAAGGGAGACACAGCAGCAUUUUUUAAGGAGAUUGUGACAAGCCAUAUCUGAGUGGAGAAGACUUGUUACUUAAGAAUAACCUUAGUCUGGGGGUGAGGGUUUGAGCUUCUCUCAUUAAAAAUGUUAAGAGAUGAGAGAUAGAUGGGAGGUGGUUUUUUGAAAAUCAGAGCUUUUAUGGGGAAACCUGUCUUUAAUACAUAAACAAUAAAAUUUAUCCUUGAGGAAUUACAGAGUAGUGUGCCUCACAAUAUUAUUUAUUUAUUUCAUUAAGUUGCGAACUCUAAGUGAGGGAGGAAGUAGAGAGAACAAUGGUUUCAACAAUGAUGAAUGAAACUUUGGCUCUCUUUUACUUUGAUGAGCAUUCUUUGAAGGUUUUGCUUUCACUACUGAUUGGAGUUACACGAAGUAAUUAAUAAUGAACAUAUUUUGACAUUAAAGCCUACAUGAAAACCAUGGUUGCUUGAAGAUGAAGGGGGAAAAAAGCCGUGUGCAAAAUAAACUUUCAGCUUUUGUAUAAAGGAAUAAGGUCCUUUGCUUUUUCAAUGGCUAAGCACUAA